CGGCGGCGUGCUUAACACAUGCAAGUCGAACGGAUCUGUUCCGCUGUAAGAUGAAGUGCUUGCAUCGAUUCUACUUGGGACAGGUUAGUGGCGGACGGGUGAGUAACGCGUGGGUAACCUGCCUGUAUCUGGGGGAUAACAGUUAGAAAUGACUGCUAAUACCGCAUAAGCGCACAGUACCGCAUGGUACAGUGUGAAAAACUCCGGUGGAUACAGAUGGACCCGCGUUGGAUUAGCCGGUUGGUGGGGUAACGGCCUACCAAAGCAACGAUCCAUAGCCGGCCUGAGAGGGCGACCGGCCACAUUGGGACUGAGACACGGCCCAAACUCCUACGGGAGGCAGCAGUGGGGAAUAUUGCACAAUGGGGGAAACCCUGAUGCCAGCGACGCCGCGUGAGCGAAGAAGUAUUUCGGUAUGUAAAGCUCUAUCAGCAGGGAAGAAAAUGACGGUACCUGACUAAGAAGCCCCGGCUAACUACGUGCCAGCAGCUGC
rnacentral:rRNA from 1 species